GUCUUCAUGGUGUAGUGGUUAGCACAAUCGACGCGCAACCGAAAGGUCCGCGGUUCGAUUCCCGGUGAAAGCG
rnacentral:tRNA from 1 species